GAGCCUGCGGGGUAAUAUAAUACCUCAGCGCUGCUAAGGGAGGGGAUCUCUCCAAGGAUCCUAUCCCGCCAGGCAAGGAGUGGAUACGGCCUGGUGUCAGAGCUGCUGGGAGACAGACUCAUCACACCAUGGCAGCCACUGCUCCAUGCACGUUAGAGGGAAGCAUGGUCCGGGAAGUAGUGAGGGCCAGCCACAACAGCCAUCUUAGCAAGGGGGUGGACACCCCCAGGAACAUUACUGAAUGUACAGCCUGUGCCCAGCGUGGAAACAUGAUGAUGGUGGUGGAAGCCAUUCCUUGCCAGGUUGCCAGCUCUCUGACUGAAAGAGGAAAACAAGCUUUCCAGUUUUUUUCCACUCCUAAGAAACCAACUGAACCUGUUGAAUAAACUGAAAUAAAGAAACUAUUCUCUGCACCCACAGAAGAGACUACUGCUGUCAAAAGUUUGCCUCUCGCCAUGUUACUUGGCCUGAUUCCCUCCUCUCGGCCAAGCAGCAGCAAGGG